GAUGAACGCUGACAGAAUGCUUAACACAUGCAAGUCAACUUGAACUUCGGUUUGGGUGGCGGACGGGUGAGUAACGCGUAAAGAACUUGCCUCACAGUUAGGGACAACAUUUGGAAACGAAUGCUAAUACCUGAUAUUAUGAUUUUAGGGCAUCCUAGAAUUAUGAAAGCUAUAUGCGCUGUGAGAGAGCUUUGCGUCCCAUUAGCUAGUUGGAGAGGUAACGGCUCACCAAGGCGAUGAUGGGUAGCCGGCCUGAGAGGGUGAACGGCCACAAGGGGACUGAGACACGGCCCUUACUCCUACGGGAGGCAGCAGUGGGGAAUAUUGGACAAUGGACCAAGAGUCUGAUCCAGCAAUUCUGUGUGCACGAUGAAGUUUUUCGGAAUGUAAAGUGCCUUCAGUUGGGAAGAAAAAAAUGACGAUACCAACAGAAGAAGUGACGGCUAAAUACGUG
rnacentral:rRNA from 1 species